UAUGAUGGCUUUUAAGUAUUAAACGAUUACUUUGCAAGUUUAAUAAGCCAAUAAUUAAUAAUAGUAGCCAGGUGUAUAAUAAACAAUCUAACUAAAAAAGUCAUGUGUUGCCUUGUUUAAGGUCAUUUUUCAUUUUAAAAUUAUAGUUUUUCUUUAAAGUUUACGAGUGUUGCGAAUUUGAACAUGAAAAGAAGACGAAAACCAGGGACUGGAAAUAUUUGUCUUACAAUUUAUGAUAGCCAGUUAACAUUUUUACAUCGAUGAGGCCUAAACUAUUGAAAAAAAUGAAAGCAGAACGAACCAGUCGAAUGUCCCACGAGAAGACCUAGCUUUGUUUUGUACGGUUCGAUCCAGCUGAGUUUAGCCAGCCCUUCGAGUUUCACUACAAGCCCUGAAAUGUUAAAAGUCUCAAGUAAGAAACCGAAAAAUGGGCCAAUGAUGUCAAAACUUAACUCUGGCGUAGUGCGGCUUGUCCAGGUCGAUUUUCACAUUUCCAGUGAUUUCUGAGCCAGCUAUGAAGGAAUCUGUUUCGCAGUCUAGAACAAUUCUGACUGACAUAUCAAGGGGCGAUUUUGUCGAUGCAUUGAGAAGAGGAAUCCAAGACGAAACUAUGGACGGGUUUAGAAUGAAAGGCCUCUCAAAAAAUCACAUAAACCCUCCAUUUUCCUGCAUGUUUAGAACUAAUCAUAUGACAAAAUCUAACUUUUUUUAUAGUAAAUUACAUAAACAGAUCAAAGCGGAUGAUUUUUGCAAAGCUGUUAAAACAUGGGAAGAUCCAGAAAAUUUUAACAAAUAAAUUAUAAUACCAGAUGAAA